UGAGGAAUAUUGGUCAAUGGGCGAGAGCCUGAACCAGCCAAGUCGCGUGAAGGAAGACAGUCCUAAGGAUUGUAAACUUCUUUUAUACGGGAAUAACGGGCGAUACGAGUAUUGCAUUGAAUGUACCGUAAGAAUAAGCAUCGGCUAACUCCGUGCCAGCAGCCGCGGUAAUACGGAGGAUGCGAGCGUUAUCCGGAUUUAUUGGGUUUAAAGGGUGCGUAGGUUGUUCGGUAAGUCAGCGGUGAAACCUGAGCGCUCAACGUUCAGCCUGCCGUUGAAACUGCCGGGCUUGAGUUCAGUGGCUGCAGGCGGAAUUCGUGGUGUAGCGGUGAAAUGCAUAGAUAUCACGAGGAACUCCGAUUGCGAAGGCAGCUUGCCAUACUGCGACUGACACUGAAGCACGAAGGCGUGGGUAUCAAACAGG
rnacentral:rRNA from 1 species